GGUGAUACACGAGCACUUCAGGGCCUCGGUCACACUUCAGGGCCAGGAACGUCACGAGUCACGGCCACCGCCCCAUCCCCCGCCCCCGGGGCUGGGGGACUCCGGCUCGUGGCGGUUCCCGGCCCGGCUUCCAACGGCCACGCGCGCGUUUUGCGCGUGCACACUAACUCGGUCUCGCGCCUUCCAGGCGGUGGGUGAGGCGGUGGAUGAGGCGGCGGGUUGGGGAAUGAUUCCCCGGCGUGGGGCCAGUGGGCCACCCGCCAGGGCAGGUGGCGAUGUCUGAGCAGAAAGGGAUUCCGUUAAUAAUUUCGCUCAGGGGCGCGAGGGAGCGGCUGAACAAUCAGUUGAGGCGGCUCAGCAAGGCCCUCACCCCAGGAGGCGCCGUUCAGGCCUCCAUCCGCUGGCAUUCGCUGGAGCGGGGCUGCAAGAGGGCGCAGGUGCAGCGAGAGAAAGUGAAAAUGUGGGUGCCCUGGAACGGGCUAAUCGUGAUUGGAAAGAGGGUGGAGCUUCUGGGCAGAAAGACGCAAAAGCCUAGAACGUGGGACCCGAGGGUUGGUCCUGAGAACUUGCGACCAGAAAGUGUGGGAAAGACCGUCUUGAAAGAGAAGGCAGGCCUGAGUCAGGAAGGGACUGGCAGUAGUACAGCAGAUGCACUGCAGGAUUCUGCAAGAGAGAUUUGGGGAAAACAAGACGUCAAACGCAAAAUUGGAGCUGAAUCUAACGCUUCAGGGAUGACCGCAGAGCCUAGGAAGGGGGGUGGUCUCUGUCUGAAGAGAUGCCCACGUCUACUGGGAAUAACGUGGGGACCAGUGGAGACGACUUGAGAUCCAGAGAAUAUCAAUUGCAGCAGAACGAGGGGCAGAAGUUGAGUGGAGAGAAGCGGGAGUCCAGGGGAGAGAAACGGGGGUCCACUGUAGAGAAGCGGGGGUCCACUGCAGAGAAGCGGGGGUCCACUGCAGAGAAACGGGGGUCCAUUGCAGAGAAGCCAGUGUACAGCGGAGAGAAGCGGGGGUCCAAUGGAGAGAACCCAGUGUACAGGAGAGAGAAGCGGGGGUCCAGUGGAGAGAAGAUGAGGUUGAGUAGAGAGAAACUAAGGUCCAGUGAAGAGAAACCAAGGACUGAUAGAGAGGAUUCGAGAUCCAUUGGAGAUAAAGCGGGGUCAAGUGAAGAGAAACUGGAAUCUAAUGGAGAAAAACUGAGCAGAAGUGAAGAGAACAUUGAAAGAGUGAUAGAAAUUACUGGUGAUGAAAGAGGGAUAGAAUUUACAGAUGAGGAGAUGGAAAUUCCUUCUGAAAGUACAAAAAUGAGAGAUGAAGAACUAGAAGGGAUUGAGGAAGGAAUAGAAAUUGAUGAGGAUAGCCUUCAUGAAGUGAAAGAUAUUACUGGUGAAUUCGUUUCUAUGGAAGAGAAAAAUAUUACAGGGGAAGGUCCCAGUGGAUGAGGCAGAUGAAGGAUUGCAGCUAAAGAAGGAGAUAUCCAGGUAGGGGAACUAUUGAAAGUCAAAGAGGAGACAUUAGAGUCAUUAUUAGAGACAUUAUUGAUCUUGAAGGGGUAAAGAAGAGUCUAGAAAGAAGGAUGUGGGAAUGGAGCAGAGCUACUGGGCAUGAAGGCAGAGCCAGUACCAGUGGAAGGGGAAAAAAAAUAGUGGUAAAGAGGAAAAUAAGAACAUUCUGAGGAGAAAGAAUAGAUUUGGUAAUGUUAGAAGAAAAUUGGAUUUGGGGUUCUUAAAUAGCUCUUUGAGAAGUGGCUUUAGGAUGGGCUAGAAGGAUUUCAUCUGACACAUAAUUAGGGAGACAAUAUGCAGGCAUGGCCUGAUGAGAAGAAUUACAACAGGAUAAAGGAUAGAUAUCGAGGGCUGUGGAAGAAGCAGCAGGCCUGGAGUAAGCAAAAUGAAAAUGGAUCCUGAAGAAUGAGUGGCUCCAAAGUUACAAAAGCAAGUGAAGAGGAGAUGAGCAAAUGAAGGGGAAAAAACUCAAAAAGUAAGACGCCAUAUUCCAUAAUGAUGAUUAUGUUUGUUGGUUUUAAAUUUACUUCCUUCACUAUUUCUGUACUGGCCACUCCCAUGAAGCCAGUUUUACCAUCUACUGUGACAGGCCUCUUGCAGGGUCCUAUACACAUCUGGAUCAAAUUCAUCCUUAUGGAUCUUCUAAAUAGCACCAGAGUUGUACCCAGAAUAAUUGCUGGGCUGCACUGUUUAACCUACUUUAGCAGGGCCAGUAUGUCACAGGGUACCCCAACCUCCACCCCAAAUUUGAAUUACCCAUGCUUGAGAUGGGGUUAGUUCAAUUAUUUGUACCUGCUCUUUCUUUCUUCCUUCCUUCCUUCCUUUCUUUCUUUCUUUCUUCCUUCCUUCCUUUCUUUCUUUUUCUUUCUUUCUUUCAUGUGCCAUUGUGUCCAGCAGAAUAUUUAGUUUUUUUUAAUAUUUAUUUUUUACAACCUGUACACUCAGAAAAAUGAGAAAUUAU
rnacentral:lncRNA from 1 species